rnacentral:rRNA from 1 species
GAUGAACGCUGGCGGCGUGCCUAAUACAUGCAAGUCGAGCGAACGGACGAGAAGCUUGCUUCUCUGAUGUUAGCGGCGGACGGGUGAGUAACACGUGGAUAACCUACCUAUAAGACUGGGAUAACUUCGGGAAACCGGAGCUAAUACCGGAUAAUAUUUUGAACCGCAUGGUUCAAAAGUGAAAGACGGUCUUGCUGUCACUUAUAGAUUGAUCCGCGCUGCAUUAGCUAGUUGGUAAGGUAACGGCUUACCAAGGCAACGAUGCAUAGCCGACCUGAGAGGGGGGUCGGCCACACAGGAACUGAGACAAGGUCCAGAAUCCUAAGGGAGGCAGCAGUAGGGAAUCUUACGCAAUGGGCGAAAGCCUGACGGAGCAAAGCCGCGUGAGUGAUGAAGGUCUUCGGAUCGUAAAACUCUGUUAUUAGGGAAGAACAAAUGUGGAAGGAACUGAGCACAGCUUGACGGUACCUAAUCAAAAAGCCACGGCUAACUACGUG